GAUUAUAUAGUCAACUAUGAUUUUAAAUUGCAAAUUUAAAGGUAUAUUAAUAUUAAAAUAUUAUAAUCU
rnacentral:tRNA from 1 species